rnacentral:rRNA from 1 species
AUUGAACGCUGGCGGCAUGCUUUACACAUGCAAGUCGAACGGAUCUAGGGGCUUGCUCCUAGGUUAGUGGCGAACGGGUGAGUAAUGCAUCGGAACGUACCGUGUAGUGGGGGAUAACCCGGCGAAAGUCGGAUUAAUACCGCAUACGAUCGAAGGAUGAAAGCGGGGGCUCGCAAGACCUCGCGCUAUACGAGCGGCCGAUGUCGGAUUAGCUAGUUGGUGAGGUAAAGGCUCACCAAGGCGACGAUCCGUAGCGGGUCUGAGAGGAUGAUCCGCCACACUGGGACUGAGACACGGCCCAGACUCCUACGGGAGGCAGCAGUGGGGAAUUUUGGACAAUGGGCGAAAGCCUGAUCCAGCCAUGCCGCGUGAGUGAAGAAGGCCUUCGGGUUGUAAAGCUCUUUUGUCAGGGAGCAAAUCCUGCCUGCUAAUACUAGGUGGGGAUGAGAGCACCUGAAGAAUAAGGACCGGCUAACUACGUGCCAGCCGCCGCGGUAAGAC